GCAUAACACCAAGUUAGACACCCCCUUGAGAGAUGAAUGUUGCCGACCACUUGCUUCUCUAGUUAAACCAACUUUAGUAAUGACCGCAUGAUAGCAAUACACAGGGGUCUCAGGAGCCAUGCGCUCAAUUAUAAAGCCACUCUAUAGCCACAAAUAAUGCUCAGAACAGCACCUAACUUCAUCAACAGUACAUAUAGGGUCCCAGCCACAGCACUAGCCACCAAACAUAUUUUUAGCUUUGCCUAAUUUCUUUAGCAAAGAGACUAAACACAACUCACCUACUCUCUUCCAGCAGCCGCUUGUUUGUAGCAAGACCUCAGGCAAGUCCAAACUGACUGCAGUGGGGUGACGCAGCUCAAGGAAGAACAUUAAUGAUCAUUACUUUAUCAUUUUAUUAAAGUAAUAAUCAUCAAAUUAAUCAUUUUGCACUGCAGGUGCGGUAGUUCUUCUGCCUUAGUGUCUCAGUCUGAUUGCAUUUCCACGAAGAAACCAAAAAACCUUUUUGGUUGAGCAUGUGGCUCUUGAGACCGCUGUGUAUUGCUAUUGUGCGUUAUCAUUACUAAAGUUGGUAUAACUAGAGAAGCAAGCAGUCGGCAACAUUAAUCUCUCAACUGGGUGUCUAAGUCGGUGUUAAGGUGUGUUUGACCCUAAUUUAAUUAACAGUCUCAUACGCAUUAUUGGAAAUGCGUGCCAGUUUGAUUUACUUAUUUGGUGAUUACCAAUAUUUAGUGUUUCUCAAGACAACUUUAGGUACCACUUCAGACAUGAUAACUGUGUUUAAUUAAAUACUAUUUUGUGUCGCCAUGUAUGUUUACAAUUCUCAUAGCAAAUUUUGUGUUUCCACCCAAAACAGAGUAAAAUCUAUCCAUCAUUGCCAUCAUUUACUGUCUAAAGUAGACGAUUGUUAAAAGGUUAAUUUUACUGAAAUUGUAAGACAUCUCUCUAAAGUCCUUUUUCAGUAACCACGCAUAUACAGGGACACACACUCAAAUCCUUGCCUAUUGAUUGUGUCCAAAGCUCUCACCUCCUCUCUCUCUUUCUCUUUCUCUCUUGCUCGCUCCCACACAUACACACAUCUGCAAAGCUGUGACUCUCAGCCCUUUAGCUUGUCCUUUGCUCCACGGCACUUUUAUGACUGACUGCUGCGCAACCUUGGCAGGUCUCUGUGCUGGAAAUAUCAACUCAACAGGUCGAAACACUUGUCAGUAAAAAUAUCUGCUCUGCUCAAAACGCCCUGCACUGUUCAUGCCUUCAGGCUCCAUCAUGUACAAUAACCAGAAUUUUGUUGAUAACAACACACCAACACACCAAUCACAUUUACGGGCAUCAAAUGUGGAAAAUUAUGUGCUACAUGAGAAAUUACAUACAGUUUUAUUUCCAUGUGAGUGGCACUAAUGGGAAGAUGUGGGAGUCAGAAGAAAUCUCUUGAAAUGAGGAGAAAACUGGCUCCUCUACUCUGAAGCAGGUGCUGUGCUGUACUUUCAAAAUCCUUUGAAGCGACGUUUCGGCGCGUGACUGUUUGUUAAAAAUAAACACGGUAUUUGUAGUUCUUCUUCUAUUGUCUUGGCUGCUCUAUCUAGUCUAUUUGAAUUGGGAUCACGCAAAGAAAGUCUGCAGAAUGCCACAUAAAAACGCCAAGGUUUCUCAAAGUUAGAAAUCCAGUAGUUUUUAACAAGUCCUGAAUUUGGCCUGAAAUACCCUGAAGUAGUCUGUUCUCUACCUAAAUCUCCCCAACUGCCAGCAAAUGGGUACUAUGCACUUUUGCCUUGCGGCUUAUUAGACAAACUCUCUCAGCCUUUUACUCUCUUUGAUCCACUUUGAACAGAAACCUCACGCUCCCUGUCCAUUUCUUACUCUCCCUCUUUUUAGUGCUGAACUGUCUCUGUGUUGUAUAAUUUUACAUCAGUGCUCAUUUGAGAUCAAGGUCUUCACAUCAUCGCCUCUGUCAGAUGACUGAAGCUGAAAUGGGUCAAGGUAUAAAAAGAACUUAGAGAGACUCGGGCGCAUCAGUGCAAAGGUGCAUACUGUCAUCUAGUGGGGAAAGGCUUUCAUUACAUUUUAGAGAAAAAAUUCUGACAAUUUCUAAAUGAAGAAAAGCUUAUGCUGCAGGGGUAAGAGAGAAGUAAAUACUCACCUGUAUCUAAAUUAGCAUGAACAAAAUAUUGGUCGCCUUCUUGGUAAUGAUGAUGCUCCCUUGAAGCCAAAACAGAAGUGAACUUACUGGCAGCAAUUUGUGUUUUUUUUUUUUUUUAAGUCUCCUAAACUCUCCAGUUUCCUGGACUGCAGUGUUGCUUCCUGGUCCUCCUCGGCUCUGCAACUACUCUGCAAAUAUGCCAUUGUUGCACUUGACUUCAAACAUGCACGAGCCAACAUUGACCUUACCUGUUGCAGUGUCUUCAGGAGAAUCACUCUGAUGUUCAGUUUAUUGGCCCAUAAAGAAAAGAGUGCUUCUUCUCGAUUACCUCGCCUGUGUCUGAUCAUGCAAGUCUCAGCGUCAUCUAGUGUUUCACUUUCAAGCCACUGCAAGCAGCUCAAUUUUGUCUGGCCCCGACUGCUACAGUUUUUCUGGAAACGGAAUUCAUGUUUCAAGACUGUAUCAGGGAAAUGCAGCCCUGGUAACUGCACUGCAGGGUCAGAUACUUGUUUUCAGUACUUCCUUCACAUUCUUUUCUUGUUUCUUGUUGGGUCGGUUUGUUUUUUUGGUCAUCAACUUGACUCUAAGUGCUCCUGCAAGUGAAAGGAACUGGUUCCUGAUUGAAAGCCGGUUUCCUGCUGUCCUCUUUUAGUUAUUUUGCUCUCUUUAGGAUGGAAUAUAAUGUUAUGAAGAGUUGCUUGCCAUGUGCAUCUGUUUCAUGUAGGGAGAGCAGCAGUAAGAGCAGCAAAAAAAACACACUGACAGAUCUCUCUGGCCCCCAUGUACUAACUUGAAAGUGCCAGCAGGGGGACAAAGCUAUGCAGCUUAAACCACAGCAAUAACAUGAUUCGCUGAGGAUAACUACUAAAGGUACUAAACUGAGAUGACAUGACUAGAGAAUCACAAAGACAGCCCAGGUGGUUAUGCUACAAGAUAAAUAUCAGUCAGCAGUUUAGGUGCACUCAUUACUUCCAUAAGCAUGCCUUGAACUUCAUAACAAAGUUGACAUUUGUUGGUUUUUAGUUCUUUGACCAUAUAUUAGAAGAACAUAGAUUAUUGACCCCCCCCAAAAAAAACCAACAGAAAUGCUGAGUUUGCAAAACUUAAUGGCAGGUAUAAAAGAAUGAGUUCAGUGAAAGCUUUUUUGGGAACAGGGCCAUCACAGUUCAGAUGAAUUACCAGAUAAAGAAGCUUUAAGAUUGGAUUUCCUCAUGUGACUGAGAUUUUUAAGCUUUAUAUUAAAUAUAAUGGCAUUACAUUUUGUUUCAUUUCCUAUUUUGAUUAAAUUUGAGCCUGGUUUUAUUUGUUGAUUUUUGGGGAUUAAAAUUCCUUAUGCUUAUUUAUUAUGAUAGAUCACAAACUUUUUCUGGUAGAACUUGAAGAGUGACGAAAACUGCUCUUUUUGUAAUCCAGAUCAUUUGGCCCUGCUCACCUAUGAGACCUGUCUCUACACAGCACUUCCGCUCAACAUUAGGCAAUAAAAAGGCAAACCAGAUGUCAAUGAGGGGCAGGCCAAUACCAUUCACACAUGAAAUGUUUUCCCAAGAUGUCCACAACUUUCCCUCACUGUAAAAUCAGUGAGCAAAGCCUCGGUAUAAUCAGCAAACUGAACAGGGAAUAACCUCAAAGUUUAAGACAUUAAUUAUUCCUGGAAUUCUGCAGUCUGGGUGACUGACCAUGUGGCUUCAAUGUCGGCUUUGUGGAGGUGGACCAGUAAUGUGACUGCAACUCUUCAAUGCAAUCUUUAAAGCCUACAGCUUCCUAUCAGAGAGGCACUGAGCAGAGAAGGCCAGAGAAAAUGGAGCAGCUUACUGUGGCUGUGAAAGUGGAAGGCUAGCUGAGGCAGAGACUCAUGUGGUCACUGUUUUUUUUCCCCCUGAUGCCAUGGAUGGAUUUGUGUACGGAUAUAUCCAUAAAUAACAGUUUGCUGAAAGGAACUACAUCAGGGAUAGCAGCUGGAUGUCAUUGGAGGCACGUGGCCUGUUUGCAUAUAGGAGCAAGAGUGAAGAAGGAACACUUUUUCCUUAUUGGCCAGAUGAUAGGGCAUCAGAAUGAGUCAGCUGACGUCGCUGCAACAGGUAAGGUAACAUUUAACUCUUGCUAUAACACCAUCUCUGACCUUUGCUAAUUGGAUGGAAGAAGGUUAUCUAAGUUAUCAGCUGAUAUCGGCUGGCAGGAUGGUUAGCUAUACAGCAAUGUCAGCAACAUAUUUAUAGACUUAUGUGUGGGCAGUAGUCGAGUUGUGAAAAAAAAUCGGGGGGGAUGGUGGAUUUGAUUGUUUGGGACAGAUAUUUUGUUGUACUGACAGUGCACAUGGUAAGUGAGUGUUCUUGCUCAAACAAUCAAAAUAUAGUGUGAAAACAAAGGUGUAGUCACAAAAAAUAUGGUGAUGGUGGUAUUUAUUCACAGCCAGCCUUCCAAGGUGCAGUGCAAAAUUAUUUACAAUGGAGCAAAAAAAUAGUAAAAUACUACUUACAAAAUGGCAACAAGACAGGGGUCUCACUAUAACUUGAGAAAAGAAAUCCGAGACACAGCAGCAAUACAAAAGUCAGUUUGAUAGUUACUUUCCAUGUAAAAACAAACAAACAAAAAAAAACCUUCAGACUCAAAGAAAGGCCCAGGCAGCCCUCCUAGCCCCUCCCUGUUGGUGUUAUUAAUGUAGUUUAAAAAAAUAGAUAUAUUCACAUUUAAACCUUUUUUUUUUAAUUUUUUUAACCAUUUUCACUUACUUUUUAUACAAAUCAAUGGAGAAUUAUUUUGGGGGAUUCAUGGCAAACAACAGGGGAACUAAUUUUUCUUGCAUCAUGUGACCACUUUGACCC